rnacentral:rRNA from 1 species
UACGUAGGGUGCAAGCGUUAAUCGGAAUUACUGGGCGUAAAGCGUGUGUAGGCGGUCCACUAAGUCGGAUGUGAAAGCCCUGGGCUCAACCCAGGAAGUGCACUCGAAACUGGCGGGCUAGAGUAUCGGAGAGGUUGGUGGAAUUCUCGGUGUAGAGGUGAAAUUCGUAGAUAUCGAGAGGAACACCGGUGGCGAAGGCGGCCAACUGGACGAAUACUGACGCUGAGACACGAAAGCGUGGGGAGCAAACAGG